rnacentral:rRNA from 1 species
GACGAACGCUGGCGGCGUGCUUAACACAUGCAAGUCGAGCGACGCUCUUCCUUCGGGGAGAUGACGGAGCGGCGAACGGGUGAGUAACACGUGGGCAACCUGCCCCUAGCUCUGGGACAACACCGGGAAACCGGUGCUAAUACCGGAUACGACAUCGAGCGGCAUCUCUCGGUGUGGAAAGUUUUUUCGGCUAGGGAUGGGCCCGCGGCCUAUCAGCUUGUUGGUGGGGUAAUGGCCCACCAAGGCGACGACGGGUAGCCGGCCUGGGAGGGCGACCGGCCAGACUGGGACUGAGACACGGCACAGACUCCUACGGGAGGCAGCAGUGGGGAAUAUUGCGCAAUGGGCGAAAGCCUGACGCAGCGACGCCGCGUGAGGGAGGACGGCCUUCGGGUUGUAAACCUCUUUCAGCAGGGACGAAUUCAGACGGUACCUGCAGAAGAAGCACCGGCCAACUACGUG